CAGCAGCCGCGGGAACACGGAGGGGGCUAGCGUUGUUCGGAAUUACUGGGCGUAAAGCGCACGUAGGCGGCUUGGUAAGUUAGAGGUGAAAGCCUGGAGCUCAACUCCAGAAUUGCCUUUAAGACUGCCGAGCUAGCAGGUGAGAGAGGUAAGUGGAAUUCCGAGUGUAGAGGCGAAAUUCGUAGAUAUUCGGAAGAACACCAGUGGCGAAGGCGGCUUACUGGCUCAUACUGGACGCUGAGGUGCGAAAGCGUGGGGAGCAAACAGGAUUAGAGACCCCUGUAGUCCCUGUCUCUUAUAC
rnacentral:rRNA from 1 species